UGCUGGGUGAAACUAACUAACCUCAACUAACAUCGGAUUUCACCCAGCGAGGUCUGUUGGAAAACCUACUCAGAGAGUGCAGUAGGCGCAACGCUAUGAAAGGCCGGGGAGGUUAUGGUUCUGUCACCUUGUCGUAUGGUGAGAAGUGUUUGACACGUUAUGCGAACUCUAUGAGGAAAGUGCCUUGUCCUCAACUUUGUGAAACAGCACUGUGGCGAAAGCGUCGUCCCUCUAGCAUCUGAUCUCAGAAUUGGUGGAAAAGGAAUGGCGGGGUCUACAGGCAACGUGCCGUAGAGUCAACUCUGUAAAACAGCACUGUGGGGAAAUCUUUCGCCUAAAGCUUCCUUUCACCAAGCUACAAACGUUGCAAUGCACAUGCGGGGCCUAGGCAGAUAGUGCCAUAGGCUGCAUUCUCUGAGACGAACUGUGGCUGGAACAUUCUUUCAGGUAACAUUUGAUUUCACUAAGCGACAACUCAUUGGAAAACCGAUGCAAGGCCUACAGGGCAAGUGUCGUAUACUCAUCUCUGUGGAACAGCAGGGGGAGAAAGCGCCUUUCAAGUAGUGUCUCGUUUCACAAAGUUAGAAGUCUUUGAAUGGCUACGCGGAGCCUAGGCCAACAGUGCCAACUACUCAAACCUGUCACCCUACAGCCUGCAACGACCAAAUUUCCACUAACAUCUUCCUUCACUAAGGUAGAAGUGUUUGAAAACCUAUGCGGGGAAUGAUGCGGAAAAUGACCUUUAAUCGACGCCGUGAGAGACUACGGUGGACGCACCGUCUUUCAAGUGACAACUUGUGUCACUAAGGUAGACGCCUUUGGAAACCCACGCGCGGCUUAGGAGGAUGGUCUCAUAUACACAACUCUGUGAACCAACAACAGGGUGGAGCAGGAAUCUUUCACCUACCACCUGGUUUCGCAAAGUUAAAAUGUUUGAAAACCUACGCACGAUCUACGUGGCAAGUUCCCUGUACUCCACUCUGGAAAUGCUCUUUCACCUUAGAGCUUCUUUCACGAAGUGUGCGAUGUUUGACUACACACGCGGGGCCUAGGCGGAUAGUGUCAUAUACUCCACUCUGUGAGACAACGUGGCGGUGCGACCAUCUUCCAACUGCCAUCUGGUUUCACCGAGUGAGAACUCACUGAAAACCUAGGCAGGGCUUAUAAUGUCAAACUGCACUUUGUGGCCACCAUGCUUCAACUAACAGCUUCUAUCCCUGCAUUAGAAGCGUUUCAAAACCUAUGCGGGGAACGACGGGGAAAGUGACCCAUAGUCGACACUGUGAGGGAAUACUCUGGACAAACCGUCUUGCAAGUAACUUCUUGUUCCACCAAGAUAGAAGAGUCUGAAAACCUAAGCACGGGCUAGACGGGAAGUGCCAGAUGCUCGACUCUGGGAAAACACACUGUGGUUGAAAACAUCUUGCAACUAGCACCUGAUUUCAAUCAGUCACCACCGUUUGAAAACUUAGGCAGGGCCCACACGGCAAGUGACAAAGAACCUGUGAAGCAACAAAGCGAGGAAACUCUCUUUCCAGUGACACAUCGCUUCACUAAAUUAGAAGUGGUGGACAAACUAUGCGGGGCAUGUGCCGACAGAACCAUAUACUCAACUCUGUCGAAGCGCACUUGGCGAAAGCCAUCUUUCAACUUACAUCUUGUAUCACUAAGUUAGAAGGGUUUGACAAGCCAGGCAGGGAACGAUGCGGAAAGUGACAUACACACGACCCUGUGAGAGAAUACUGUGGACAAACCAUCUCUCAACUAACGUCUUGUAUCACUAAGUCAAAAACGCGUGAAAAAGCAGGCGGGGCCGAUAAUGAACAGGGCCGUAUACUCAACUCUGCCAAACAACAAAGUGAGGGAACCAUCCUCCAACUAACAUCUUGUUUGACGUAGAAAACUUAGAAAAUGUAUGCUGGAAACGACGUGGGAGGUGUCCUAUAGCAGCCACUGUGAAAGAAUCCUGUGCAGAAAGCGUUUUUCCACUGUCAUCAUGUGUCACUAAGUUACAAGUGUUUCACUCUUUCAGCUCCCACCUUGUUCACUACG
ensembl:lncRNA